UUCCCCCCGAAGUUUCCCUCAGGAUAGCUGGUGCUCGCAAAGAGAACAAACGGAGUUUCAUCCGGUAAAGCGAAUGAUUAGAGGCCUUGGGGUCGAAACGACCUCAACCUAUUCUCAAACUUUCAAUGGGUGAGAAGCCCGGCCUUUUUCCUUGAUUGAGGCCGCGGCAAUUGAUUUGAAUCUGAGCGCCCAGUGGGCCAUUUUUGGUAAGCAGAACUGGCGCUGUGGGAUGAACCAAACGCCCGGUUAAGGCGCCUAAACGACGCACAUUUCGGAUCCCACGAAAAGGAGUUGGUUGCUAAAGACAGCAGGACGGUGGCCAUGGAGGUCGGAA
rnacentral:ncRNA from 1 species